rnacentral:rRNA from 1 species
GAUGAACGCUGGCGGCGUGCCUAAUACAUGCAAGUCGAACGAGGUCUUCGGACCGAGUGGCGAACGGGUGAGUAACACGUUGGUACCUACCCCGAAGUGGGGAAUAACUGGCCGAAAGGUCGGCUAAUACCGCAUAAUACCGCAAGGUUAAAGCAGUAAUGCGCUUCGGGAGGGGCCUGCGUCCCAUUAGCUAGUUGGUGAGGUAAUUGCUCACCAAGGCAACGAUGGGUAGCUGGAUCGAGAGGUUGACCAGCCACACUGGGACUGAGAUACGGCCCAGACUCCUACGGGAGGCAGCAGUAAGGAAUCUUCCACAAUGGACGAAAGUCUGAUGGAGCAACGCCGCGUGCAGGAUGACGGCCUUGGUU